UCGAUCUUGUUGAUGAUUGGUUAAAGAAAGAUCGAUUUGUUUUUAUAGGGUGGUCUGGU
rnacentral:tRNA from 1 species